rnacentral:rRNA from 1 species
AGGCUUGAGUCUUGUAGAGGGGGGUAGAAUUCCAGGUGUAGCGGUGAAAUGCGUAGAGAUCUGGAGGAAUACCGGUGGCGAAGGCGGCCCCCUGGACAAAGACUGACGCUCAGGUGCGAAAGCGUGGGGAGCAAACAGGAUUAGAUACCCUGGUAGUCCACGCCGUAAACGAUGUCUACUUGGAGGUUGUGCCCUUGAGGCGUGGCUUCCGGAGCUAACGCGUUAAGUAGACCGCCUGGGGAGUACGGCCGCAAGGUUAAAACUCAAAUGAAUUGACGGGGGCCCGCACAAGCGGUGGAGCAUGUGGUUUAAUUCGAUGCAACGCGAAGAACCUUACCUGGUCUUGACAUCCACAGAACUUUCCAGAGAUGGAUUGGUGCCUUCGGGAACUGUGAGACAGGUGCUGCAUGGCUGUCGUCAGCUCGUGUUGUGAAAUGUUGGGUUAAGUCCCGCAACGAGCGCAACCCUUAUCCUUUGUUGCCAGCGAUUA